AUGUUAGGAGCUGUUUUUGCAUCUUUAAUUCCAAUAAUAAGAAAGCGAUUGUGGAACAACUUGGUGAAUAUCUAUAGGCAACAACAAGGAUCUUGGAUGUUGUUAGGCGAUUUCAACAAUGUUCUGAAGUGCACAGACAGAAUAGGUGGAAGACAAAUCAAGGAAGCAGAAUACAGGGAUUUGCAAGGGUUUAUGGAGAAGGCAGGACUAUAUGAAAUGGACAGCAGGGGUGAAAACUUCACUUGA